rnacentral:rRNA from 1 species
UACAGAGGGUGCGGGCGUUAAUCGGAAUUACUGGGCGUAAAGGGCGCGUAGGUGGUUAGUUAAGAUAGCUGUGAAAUCCCUGGGCUUAACCUAGGAACUGCAGCUGUGACUGGCUAGCUAGAGUACUGUAGAGGGUAGUGGAACUUCCGGUGUAGCGGUGAAAUGCGUAGAGAUCGGAAGGAACACCAGUGGCGAAGGCGGCUACCUGGACAGAUACUGACGCUGAGGCGCGAGAGCGUGGGGAGCAAACAGG